rnacentral:rRNA from 1 species
AGGACGAACGCUGGCGGCGUGCUUAACACAUGCAAGUCGAACGGGGAUUAGUUGAUAGAGAGCUCGGCAGGAAAUUGAUAAUUCGAGUGGCGGACGGGUGAGUAACGCGUGAGCAACCUGUCCCAGACAGGGGGAUAACACUUGGAAACAGGUGCUAAUACCGCAUAAGACCACGGGAUCACAUGGUUCUGGGGUAAAAGGAGCAAUCCGGUUUGGGGUGGGCUCGCGUCCGAUUAGCCAGUUGGCGGGGUAACGGCCCACCAAAGCGACGAUCGGUAGCCGACCUGAGAGGGUGAACGGCCACAUUGGAACUGAGAGACGGUCCAAACUCCUACGGGAGGCAGCAGUGGGGAAUAUUGGGCAAUGGGCGAAAGCCUGAACCCCAGCAACGCCGCGUGAGUGAAGAAGGCCUUCGGGUUGUAAAGCUCUGUUAUAGUUGACGAAGGAAGUGACGGUAGGCUAUAAGGAAGCCCCGGCUAACUACGUGCCAGCCGCAGC